rnacentral:rRNA from 1 species
UCAUCGUCGUCGCCCAUGGCGGUGGCGAUCUUCCUCUCGGGCUUCCUCCUGGGCCUCCUCGCGCUCGCUCUCACGGAGGGGGCGGCGCUUCUCUAGGCCGUCCGCGCGCUGCGCCGCCGCGGGCCAAGGCCUCCGCCUCCGGAGGCCGCCGCCGCCGAGCUCUCCGGCGACCGGCCGUUCCCCGCCGAGAAGCAGGGUUUUCUCUGGAUGUUAGAGCCAGGAAAGGUGCCAAAAGUUAGGAACGGCAACCGCUUACCACCAACUGGGGUUCAGAAAGGCGUGAAGGAUAAAAAGAACAUCGUUGAGGUUUCUCCGAUAAGGAUGUGGGCUAAAAUUCAAGGCCACUCGCUUGUCUUGACAGGUUCCGAUGGUUCUCAGUUAACUAUUGGGCUUCUGGAUUGCACUGUUCUUGCUGUUUCUGCUUCUAACCUACCGUCGCGUAAAUGGUCUAAGAGGUAUCCGAUAAAACUAGAAAGCAAGGAAUCUGAGAUUUGCAAGCGGAGCAAGGUAUGCUAUCUUUAUGUGGACACCUCUUGGGAGAAAGAAUCAUGGUGUAAAGCACUUCGUCUUGCAUCUUCUACAGACAAGGAGAAACUGAAAUUGCAUACUAGGUUGAGCGAAGAGUUCAGAAGUUACAUAUCCUCUUUACACGCUGGAUACCCUUGUUUCCUGAAAUCAACUGCACUUUCUGCUGAGGAUCGUGAAAUUAUGGACAAGGCAGUAAAAUCUGAUGGGUCGUCAAAAGUACGCCUUUUCCUUAAGAAGUUUGCUAGGAAGGCAUCUAUAAAAGCUCCCCAGUUGACUAGAACAUGCUCGACCUCAGCACAAGCAGAAAGAAAGACGUUCCAAAAAACACGCAGCUACAUUGGUGCCGCACUAAUUGAUGCACAAGAAGAAAGGUCAAGCAGUAGUUCAUCAUCACUAGACAUAAAGCAACCCAGUACCCCUAGUUCUGAUUUCAGUUACAGCAACAGAUUCUCAGAUUCUCCUGAAACAAAUGUAGAUGAAAAGUUUACUGAUGAAGGCACACUUUGUUGGAACCUCCUAAUCUCUCGGUUGUUUUUUGAUGCUAAAAUGAGUGAUGAUAUAAGUAAAUCCAUUAAAGCACGCCUUCAGCGAAAAUUGUCAAACAUGAGAACUGCCUCCUAUAUUGGUGAAAUUACACUUACUGAUUUCAGUCUUGGAGAACUUCCACCAUAUUUGCGUACGAUGAGAGUCGUCCCAAGGGAUCUAAAUGAACUGUGGGCUUUCGAAUUUGAUUUUGAAUAUUGUAGUAAAAUAAUACUGAAUGCUGAAGCAAGACUUGAGGUUCAGGAACCAGGGCUGCAAAAAGACAUAAUGAGAACUACUGUCGAAGCAGAUUCUAAUGGCAACCAAUUUGGACCUUCGCAACUUUUGGCUUCUGUAAUGGAAGAUGAAGAUGAGGCAGGUUUGUUUGAAGUUUUCAUACAUUUUCUUUCCAUUGCUUAUUAUUUCUCAGAAUGA